rnacentral:siRNA from 1 species
ACCGCACGUCGCGUGGUGUCC